CCCCUAGAUGUUCUGGGCCGCACGCGCGCUACACUGAACAGUUCAACAAGUCUUAACCUUGGCCGAUAGGUCUGGGUAAUCUUUGAACGCUGUUCGUGAUUGGGAUAGACCUUUGCAAUUAUGGGUCUUCAACGAGGAAUUCCUAGUAAACGCAAGUCAUCAGCUUGCAUUGAUUACGUCCCUGCCCUUUGUACACACCGCCCGUCGCACCUACCGAUUGAAUGGUCCGGUGAAAUCUCGGGACGGCGGCUUGGUCGCUUGCGUCCGACUGCUGAAACUUGAUUGAACCAUAUCAUUUAGAGGAAGGUGAAGUCGUAACA
rnacentral:rRNA from 1 species